GACCUCACUCCAUCCCUCAUCCCUGUCAGCCAGUCAUCUGGUGCUGUUCUGAGCCAGCCAGCACAAGCCAAGUGGCACUGAAACCUGCUCUGCUGGCUCCCAAGAGUUAACUGUGCACGUGUCUUCCUAACUCGGCAUUCAGUGACAUCAAACUGCUGCAGUCGUGGAGGCCGCGUGUGGAGACAGCAGAACCACAAGACCGAGUCACCUGGUUGCUGAGUCAGCACAUGAGGACAGCUGUCUUCAGAGAGUAGCCUGAUCGUCUGUGCAUGAGAGGGAAAUAAACAUUUGUUCUGUUUAGCCACUGAGCUUCAAGACAGUUUUGUUACUGCAAAAUAACCUAGCCCAGCGGUUCCCAAACAUUUGGGUCUCAGCAUUCCUUUAAACUCUUAAAAGUUAUUGAUGAUCCCAAAGAGCUUUUGUUUAUGUGGAUUAUAUCUACCAAUAUUUCCAUGUCAGAGAUUAAAAGUGAGAAAUUUUUAAAAUGUGUGUAUAUUAAUUCAUUUUAAAAUAACAAUUAUUAAACCAUUACAUGUUAACAUAAAUAACGUAUUUUUAUGAAAAACAGCUAGUUUCCAAAACAAACUAGUGAGAAUGACAGUUUUACAUUUUUGCAAAUCUCUGGAUUAAUUGAAGACAGCUGGAUUCUCAUCUCUGCUCCUGCAGUUAAUCAGUUUCAAUCUGUUUUGUUGCUGUUUUUGAGGUAUUUGAAGAAAAUCUGGCCUCACACAGAUAAUGUAGUUAAUAAUCUAGGGGUGUAUUUUAAUAGCUUUUGUUGAUGAUGGUGCAUAAUCUUUUUGUAUACUACAUCAAAACUUGACAAGUGGUAGUUUCUUAUAAGUUAAUUACGAUAUGGAAUCUGAAACCAUAUCAAUGGACUUUUCGUACUCUGUUACAUUAAAAUCCAUUAGGCUGUCUUGCACUUUGAGCGGAUCCUUUACCCAUGCAUGAAUUUGUAACCUCAUGCAUUGAUUAUUGGAAAAGAUCGAUUCACUGAGUUAUACAGAUCUUCCAAAUGUUGGCAUAUUUC
rnacentral:lncRNA from 1 species